rnacentral:rRNA from 1 species
CCUACGGGGGGCAGCAGUGGGGAAUAUUGCACAAUGGGGGAAACCCUGAUGCAGCGACGCCGCGUGAGUGAAGAAGUAUUUCGGUAUGUAAAGCUCUAUCAGCAGGGAAGAAGAAAGACGGUACCUGACUAAGAAGCCCCGGCUAACUACGUGCCAGCAGCCGCGGUAAUACGUAGGGGGCAAGCGUUAUCCGGAUUUACUGGGUGUAAAGGGAGCGUAGGUGGUGUGGUAAGUCAGAUGUGAAAGCCCGAGG